rnacentral:rRNA from 1 species
UGGGGAAUUUUGGACAAUGGGGGAAACCCUGAUCCAGCCAUCCCGCGUGUGCGAUGAAGGCCUUCGGGUUGUAAAGCACUUUUGGCAGGAAAGAAACGUCAUGGGUUAAUACCCCGUGAAACUGACGGUACCUGCAGAAUAAGCACCGGCUAACUACGUGCCAGCAGCCGCGGUAAUACGUAGGGUGCACGCGUUAAUCGGAAUUACUGGGCGUAAAGCGUGCGCAGGCGGUUCGGAAAGAAAGAUGUGAAAUCCCAGAGCUCAACUUUGGAACUGCAUUUUUAACUACCGGGCUAGAGUGUGUCAGAGGGAGGUUGAAUUCCGCGUGUAGCAGUGAAAUGCGUAGAUAUGCGGAGGAACACCGAUGGCGAAGGCAGCCUCCUGGGAUAACACUGACGCUCAUGCACGAAAGCGUGGGGAGCAAACAGG